UACAGAGGUCUCAAGCGUUGUUCGGAUUCAUUGGGCGUAAAGGGUGCGUAGGCGGCGCGGUAAGUCGGGUGUGAAAUCUUGGAGCUUAACUCCGAAACUGCAUUCGAUACUGCCGUGCUUGAGGACUGGAGAGGAGACUGGAAUUACGGUGUAGCGGUGAAAUGCGUAGAUAUCGUAAGGAAGACCAGUGGCGAAGGCGG
rnacentral:rRNA from 1 species